AUGUUGCUUCAAUCGUCUAAGAUUCCCAAAGAUUGGAAAGCUGCUGCGGUCAUCCCCCUCUUCAAAGGGGGAGACACUCUAGACCCAAACUUCUGCAGACCUAUAUCUAUCCUACCCUGCCUUUCUAAGGUCUUCGAAAGCCAAGUUAACAAACAGAUUACCGACCAUUUUAAAUCCCACCGUACCUUCUCCCCUAUGCAAUCUGGUUUCAGAGCUGGUCAUGGGUGCACCUCAGCCACGCUGAAGGUCCUAAAUGAUAUCAUAACUGCCAUCGAUAAGAGACAUUACUGUGCAGCCGUAUUCAUUGACCUGGCCAAGGCUUUCGACUCUGUCAAUCACCACAUUCUUAUCGGCAGACUCAAUAGCCUUGGUUUCUCAAAUGACUGCCUCGCCUGGUUCACCAACUACUUCUCAGACAGAGUUCAGUGUGUCAAAUCGGAGGGUCUGUUGUCCAGACCUCUGGCAGUCUCUAUGGGGGUGCUGCAGGGUUUAAUUCUCGGGUCGACUCUCUUCUCUGUAUUCAUCAAUGAUGUCACUCUUGCUGCUGGUGUUUCUCUGAUCCACCUCUACGCAGACGACACCAUUCUGUAUACCUCUGGCCCUUCUUUGGACACUGUGUUAACUAACCUCCAGACGAGCUUCAAUGCCAUACAACUCUCCUUCCGUGGCCUCCAACGGCUCUUAAAUGCAAGUAAAACUAAAUGCAUGCUCUUCAACCGAUCGCUGCCCGCACCUGCCCGCCCAUCCAGCAUCACUACUCUGGAUGGUUCUGACUUAGAAUAUGUGGACAACCACAAAUACCUAGGUUUCUGGUUAGACUGUAAACUCUCCUUCAAGGCUCACAUUAAGCAUCUACAAUCCAAAAUUAAAUCUAGAAUCGGCUUCCUAUUUUGCAACAAAGCAUUCUUCACUCAUGCUGCCAAACACACCCUCGUAAAAGUCACCAUCCUACCGAUCCUUGACUUCGGCGAUGUCAUUUACAAAAUAGCCUCCAACAUUCUACUCAACAAAUGGGAUGCAGUCUAUCACAGUGCCAUCCGUUUUGUCACCAAAGCCCCAUAUACUACCCACCACUGCGACAUGUAUGCUCUCGUUUGCUGGCCCUCGCUACAUACUCGUCGCCAAACCCACUGGCUCCCGGUCAUCUACAAGACUGCUAGGUAA
rnacentral:lncRNA from 1 species